AAUAAUUCAUUAAAGCAAAAAUUAAUCUUAAAAACAUUCCUUACUCCUGGCAGAAAACUAGCAGAAUUAAGGAAAAUGCUUGUAACCAUUUGUAAGAGUAUCCUAAGAUAUCACUAUACUGAACUGAAGGACUACUAUAUUAUUAUAUUG